UUUGAUCCUGGCUCAGAUUGAACGCUGGCGGCAGGCCUAACACAUGCAAGUCGAGCGGCAGCACGGGAAGCUUGCUUCCUGGUGGCGAGCGGCGGACGGGUGAGUAAUGCAUAGGAAUCUGCCCGGUAGUGGGGGAUAACCUGGGGAAACCCAGGCUAAUACCGCAUACGUCCUACGGGAGAAAGCAGGGGCUCUUCGGACCUUGCGCUAUCGGAUGAGCCUAUGUCGGAUUAGCUGGUUGGUGAGGUAAUGGCUCACCAAGGCGACGAUCCGUAGCUGGUCUGAGAGGAUGAUCAGCCACAUCGGGACUGAGACACGGCCCGAACUCCUACGGGAGGCAGCAGUGGGGAAUAUUGGACAAUGGGCGCAAGCCUGAUCCAGCCAUGCCGCGUGUGUGAAGAAGGCCCUCGGGUUGUAAAGCACUUUCAGUGGGGAAGAAAGCCUUCCGGUUAAUACCCGGGAGGAAGGACAUCACCCACAGAAGAAGCACCGGCUAACUCCGUGCCAGCAGCCGCGGUAAUACGGAGGGUGCGAGCGUUAAUCGGAAUUACUGGGCGUAAAGCGCGCGUAGGUGGCUUGAUAAGCCGGUUGUGAAAGCCCCGGGCUCAACCUGGGAACGGCAUCCGGAACUGUCAGGCUAGAGUGCAGGAGAGGAAGGUAGAAUUCCCGGUGUAGCGGUGAAAUGCGUAGAGAUCGGGAGGAAUACCAGUGGCGAAGGCGGCCUUCUGGACUGACACUGACACUGAGGUGCGAAAGCGUGGGUAGCAAACAGGAUUAGAUACCCUGGUAGUCCACGCCGUAAACGAUGUCGACUAGCCGUUGGGUCCUUCGCGGACUUUGUGGCGCAGUUAACGCGAUAAGUCGACCGCCUGGGGAGUACG
rnacentral:rRNA from 1 species